rnacentral:rRNA from 1 species
UACGAGGGGGGCAAAUGUUGUUCGGAAUCACUGGGCGUAAAGGGAGCGUAGGCGGGUUCUUAAGUAAGGUGUUUAAUCCCGGGGCCCAACCCCGGACCGGCAUUUUAAACUGGGAAUCUUGAAUAGUGGAGAGGUCAGUGGAAUUGGGGGUGUAGCGGUGGAAUGCGUAGAGAUCCCCAAGAACACCAGUUGCGAAGGCGGCUGACUGGACACAUAUUGACGCUGAGGCUCGAAAGCAUGGGGAGCAAACAGG